UCGAGAAUCUUCGGCAAUGGGCGCAAGCCUGACCGAGCGACGCCGCGUGGAGGAUGAAGGCCUUCGGGUUGUAAACUCCUGUCGAGGGGGAAAAAGGACCGCAAGGUCUUGAUUGAUCCCUGGAGGAAGCACGGGCUAAGUUCGUGCCAGCAGCCGCGGUAAGACGAACCGUGCGAACGUUAUUCGGAAUCAUUGGGCUUAAAGCGCGUGUAGGCGGAUCCGUGCGUCUGUCGCUGAAAUCCCCCGGCUCAACCGGGGAACGGGCGUGGAUACGACGGGUCUGGAGGGGCGUAAGGGGACCUGGAACUUCCGGUGGAGCGGUGAAAUGCGUUGAGAUCGGAAGGAACGCCCGUGGCGAAAGCGAGGUCCUGGACGCCUACUGACGCUGAGACGCGAAAGCCAGGGGAGCGAACGGGAUUAGAUACCCCGGUAGUCCUGGCCGUAAACGAUGGGUACUGGAUAGGGGGCUCGCCGAUGGGCUCCCUGUCGUAGGGAAACCGUGAAGUACCCCGCCUGGGGAGUAUGGUCGCAAGGCUGAAACU
rnacentral:rRNA from 1 species